rnacentral:rRNA from 1 species
GAUGAACGCUGGCGGCGUGCCUAAUACAUGCAAGUCGAGCGAACAGAUGAGGAGCUUGCUCCUCUGACGUUAGCGGCGGACGGGUGAGUAACACGUGGAUAACCUACCUAUAAGACUGGGAUAACUUCGGGAAACCGGAGUUAAUACCGGAUAAUAUAUUGAACCGCAUGGUUCAAUAGUGAAAGACGGUUUUGCUGUCACUUAUAGAUGGAUGCGCGCCGCAUUAGCUAGUUGGUAAGGUAACGGCUUACCAAGGCAACGAUGCGUAGCCGACCUGAGAGGGGGUGCGGCACACUGGAACUGAGACACGGUCCAGACUCCUACGGGAGGCAGCAGUAGGGAAUCUUCCGCAAAGGGCGAAAGCCUGACGGAGCAACGCCGCGUGAGUGAUGAAGGUCUUCGGAUCGUAAAACUCUGUUAUUAGGGAAGAACAAAUGUGUAAGUAACUAUGCACGUCUUGACGGUACCUAAUCAGAAAGCCACGGCUAACUACGUG